rnacentral:rRNA from 1 species
CCUACGGGAGGCAGCAGUGGGGAAUAUUGCACAAUGGGGGAAACCCUGAUGCAGCGACGCCGCGUGAGUGAAGAAGUAUUUCGGUACGUAAAGCUCUAUCAGCAGGGAAGAAAAUGACGGUACCUGACUAAGAAGCCCCGGCUAACUACGUGCCAGCAGCCGCGGUAAUACGUAGGGGGCAAGCGUUAUCCGGAUUUACUGGGUGUAAAGGGAGCGUAGACGGCAGCGCAAGUCUGGAGGGAAAUCCCAUGGCUUAACCAUGGAACUGCUUUGGAAACUGUGCAGCUAGAGUGCAGGAGAGGUAAGCGGAAUGCCUAGUGUAGCGGUGAAAUGCGUAGAUAUUAGGAGGAACACCAGUGGCGAAGGCGGCUUACUGGACUGUAACUGACGUUGAGGCUCGAAAGCGUGGGGAGCAAACAGGAUUAGAUACCCCAGUAGUC